rnacentral:rRNA from 1 species
GAUGAACGCUAGCUACAGGCCUAACACAUGCAAGUCGAGGGACCGGCGCACGGGUGAGUAACGCGUAUCCAACCUACCCAUGACUAAGGGAUAACCCGUCGAAAGUCGGCCUAAGACCUUAUGGUGAUGGAUGGGGAUGCGUCUGAUUAGCUUGUCGGUGAGGUAACGGCUCACCGAGGCAACGAUCAGUAGGGGUUCUGAGAGGAAGGUCCCCCACAUUGGAACUGAGACACGGUCCAAACUCCUACGGGAGGCAGCAGUGAGGAAUAUUGGUCAAUGGACGAUAGUCUGAACCAGCCAAGUAGCGUGCAGGAUGACGGCCUAUGGGUUGUAAACUGCUUUUAUGUGGGAAUAUGUACCGCAUGAAUAAGGACCGGCUAAUUCCGUGCCAGCAGCCGCGGUAAUAC